UUGAACGCUGGCGGCAUGCCUUACACAUGCAAGUCGAACGGCAGCACGGGAGCAAUCCUGGUGGCGAGUGGCGAACGGGUGAGUAAUAUAUCGGAACGUGCCCAGUCGUGGGGGAUAACGUAGCGAAAGCUACGCUAAUACCGCAUACGAUCUAUGGAUGAAAGCGGGGGGAUCGCAAGACCUCGCGCGAUUGGAGCGGCCGAUAUCAGAUUAGGUAGUUGGUGAGGCAAAGGCUCACCAAGCCGACGAUCUGUAGCUGGUCUGAGAGGACGACCAGCCACACUGGGACUGAGACACGGCCCAGACUCCUACGGGAGGCAGCAGUGGGGAAUUUUGGACAAUGGGCGCAAGCCUGAUCCAGCAAUGCCGCGUGCAGGAUGAAGGCCUUCGGGUUGUAAACUGCUUUUGUACGGAACGAAACGGUGAGCUCUAAUACAGUUUGCUAAUGACGGUACCGUAAGAAUAAGCACCGGCUAACUACGUG
rnacentral:rRNA from 1 species